AGCAGCCGCGGUAAUUCCAGCUCCAAUAGCGUAUAUUAAAGUUGUUGCAGUUAAAAAGCUCGUAGUUGAAUUUCGGGGUUAGUAGGUUGGUCAUGCCUCUGGUAUGUACUGGUCUCACUGAUUCCUCCUUCCUGAUGAACCUUAAUGCCAUUAAUUUGGUGUUUUGGGGAAUUUGGACUGUUACUUUGAAAAAAAUUAGAGUGUUUAAAGCAAGCUAACGCUUAAAUACAUUAGCAUGGAAUAAUGAAAUAGGACGUUCGAUCCUAUUUUGUUGGUUUCUAGGAUUGACGUAAUGAUUAAUAGGGAUAGUUGGGGGCAUUAGUAUUCAAUUGUCAGAGGUGAAAUUCUUGGAUUUAUUGAAGACUAACUACUGCGGAAGCAUUUGCCAAGGAUGUUUUCAUUAAUCAAGAACGAAAGUUAGGGGAUCGAAGACGAUCAGAUACCGUCGUAGUCUUAACCAUAAACUAUGCCGACUAGGGAUCGGAUGAUGUUAUUUUUAAUGACUCAUUCGGCGCCUUAC
rnacentral:rRNA from 1 species